UGAGAUAUUCGAUAGAAUCGAGUUGUGCCUAAGAGGCCACAGUACUGGCUGUUGAAGGAAUACUGUCAUAUUUUGUAUUUGGUAUAGCAACCGAUUCUUUGAUAUGUUUGUUUACGUUUUGUAAGUCAGUCGGUCAAUAACAGUUCUCAUUGGUUCUCAUGUAAACACUGAAUAAAUUCCUGGUG